AAAGCCCAAGGAGGAGCGACUUCCCUCCUCCUCAGGGUUACCCAUGUCUGAUUGCCUUUUCCUCAUGACUGGUGACUUUCUCUGCCCUGGAGUUCACUGCCGUGCAGAGAAAUUGCACAGGAGCCAGAAGAGAGGCCUGACACUCAGGUGGGGCGCCUUGGACUCCCAUCUUCCUGGGUGCUCAGACGCAGAACGCCAGAAUGCAGUCCUUGGAUGACAGUCCUGCUUGUUGAAAUUUUAUGACACAAUGAACCAACUGUGAUGUGACUAAUCAGCUGAGAGCUUGGAUCUGGGCUUGGUUGGCACGCAGAUUCUCUGGCCUGAGAGAUUAAUUAAGUUCCUUGCAGUUGACAAACUG